rnacentral:rRNA from 1 species
AUUGAACGCUGGCGGCAGGCUUAACACAUGCAAGUCGAGCGAGCGGCGGACGGGUGAGUAAUGUCUGGGAAACUGCCUGAUGGAGGGGGCUAACUACUGGAAACGGUAGCUAAUACCGCAUACCAUCAGAUGUGCCCAGAUGGGAUUAGCAAGUAGGUGGGGUAAUGGCUCACCUAGGCGACGAUCCCUAGCUGGUCUGAGAGGAUGACCAGCCACACUGGAACUGUGACACGGGCCAGAAUCCUACGGGAGGCAGCAGUGGGGAAUAUUGCACAAGGGGCGGGAGCCUGAUGCAGCAAUGCCGCGAGAGUGAAGAAGGCCUUCGGGUUGUAAAGCACUUUCAGCGAGGAGGCGUUACUCGCAGAAGAAGCACCGGCUAACUACGUGCCAGCAGCCGCGGUAAUAC